rnacentral:rRNA from 1 species
UCCUACGGGACGCAGCAGUGAGGAAUAUUGGGCAAUGCUCGCAAGAGUGACCCAGCAACGCCGCGUGGAGGAUGAAUGCCGUAAGGUUGUAAACUCCUGUGAGAAGGGACGAAAGCGCAGGUUUGAAGCCUGCUUUGACUGUACCUUCAGAGGAAACCCCGGCUAACUACGUGCCAGCAGCCGCGGUAAUACGUAGGGGGUAAGCGUUGUCCGGAUUUACUGGGUGUAAAGGGCGCGUAGGCGGGCCCGUAAGUCAGAGGUGAAAUCCUACAGCUUAACUGUAGAGCUGCCUUUGAUACUGCGGGUCUUGAGUUCAGAAGAGAGAGAUGGAAUUCCAGGUGUAGUGGUGAAAUACGUAGAUAUCUGGAAGAACACCAGUGGCGAAGGCGAUCUCUUGGUCUGUAACUGACGCUGAGGCGCGAAAGCGUGGGUAGCAAACAGGAUUAGAAACCCGUGUAGUCCG